UACGGAGGGGGCUAGCGUUGUUCGGAAUUACUGGGCGUAAAGCGCACGUAGGCGGCUUUGUAAGUUAGAGGUGAAAGCCCGGGGCUCAACUCCGGAAUUGCCUUUAAGACUGCAUCGCUAGAAUUGUGGAGAGGUAAGUGGAAUUCCGAGUGUAGAGGUGAAAUUCGUAGAUAUUCGGAAGAACACCGGUGGCGAAGGCGGCUCACUGGCUCGUUUCUGACGCUCAGGCGCGACAGCGUGGGGAUCAAACAGG
rnacentral:rRNA from 1 species